rnacentral:lncRNA from 1 species
GGCAACCCGUUGGGGUCCCCUUCCCCAAUGUGGAAGCUUUGUUCUUUCGCUCUUUGCAAUAAAUCCUUCUGCUGCUCACUCUUUGGGCCCACACUGCCUUUAUGAGCUGUAACACUCACCGCGAAGUUCUGCAGCUUCACUCCUGAGCCAGCAAGACCACGAACCCACCAGAAGGAAGAAACUCCGAACACAUCCGAACUUCAGAAGGAACAAACUCCAGACGCGCCACCUUAAGAGCUGUAACACUCAACGCGAGGGUCCGUGGCUUCAUUCUUGAAGUCAGUGAGACCAAGAGCCCACCAAUUCCAGACACAUGUUGACUGAUGUCUCAUGUCUCCCUAAAAUGUAUAAAACCAAGCUGUGCCCCUACCACCUUAGGCACAUGUUGUCAGGACCUCCUGAGGCUGUCAUGGGCACAUGUCCUCAACCUUGGCAAGAUAAACUUUCUAAAUUAACUGAGACUUGUCUCAGACUUUGGGGGUUCAUAUUUUGGCAACCACGAAGGGAUUAUAUGUGGAGAUGCCCCUGACCUUAGGCAAAUCUCCUAUCAGUGCUUGGUACCAGCCUGAGCUAACUUUAUGGCUCAAACCAAUAGGACAAUUUGUUGAGGUCUGGAAGCACUCCCUCCAGAGAAUCCCCAAAAUUUGCUUGAGAUCAAAAGUUUAUUUUGCUAUACAACUCCUUUUUUUUUUUUUUUUUUUUUUUUUGGAGUUUUCCUUGCUUCCAACAAGGAAGGUAGGAUUUCCUGUUUCCAUGACAAUGGAAGGCAGGUAACUGCCUUAUAGAGUUUGAGCUCACUCCCAGCAAGGAAGAUGAGUUUGAGGGUUUUUUUCCUGCUUCUAGGAUGGUAGAAAGCAGUCUUCAGCCUGAGACCCAUUCCUAGGUGCUCUUGAGUACAAGUUUCUGAUAACUUUGGAGAUUGUGACAUCAGAAUAGAGGAAAAACUUUUAGGACUCAUGGAGAAGUGAAAUGUUCAUGAACAUCAGGCAGAACAGGAAUUAACUGCAUGGACAGAACUAAUACAAAACUGAGUUUGGACUGAAUUCUAAUUUUUCUUGGCUACAAGUCUUCAAAAUAAUGUUUUCAAGUUUUUUCCUUCUUUUUUUCCCCCAUUUUUCCUAAUUUGGAGUCACUGAAAACUAAGCUGUGCUUUUGUAAACCCUGCAAACUGAAGCCAGACAACUUAAACUUUAGAAGAAAAUAACAGCAACCUGCUUACAUACAUAAGGCACUUUCAUCCCUGCCUACUGAUAUAUAAACUUCAGAGUAAUGUGGCCUAUAUCGAUUUUCCAGGAUUGUUCUUUUGUUUGUUGUUGUUUUUAUCCCUUCCUCCCCCAUUUUCUCUUCAUAGGACAUGAGACUUCACAACCUGCUAAAAAUGAACUUUCCUAAUAACUGGGGACCUACCCGUCUAGGAAUAAACCAUCCUAGCCAUGACAGAUCAGAUGAAACCUGAGACCAGAGACUCAUUUUCUCCUAAAAUGCUUUCUCCAAAAGAUUUUUAAAAAGAAAAGGGGGAAAAUAUGAAUGGAAAAUAAAUCUUGGGGCCCCAACAUCACUAAGCUAAAGGGAAAAGUCAAGCUGGGAACUGCUUAGGGCCAACCUGCCUCCCAUUCUAUUCAAAGUCACCUCUCUGCUCACUGAGAUAAGUGUAUAUCUGACUGCCUCAUUUGGAGAGGCUAAUCAGAAACUCAAAAGAAUGCAACCAUUUGUCUCUUAUCUACCUAUGACCUGGAAACCCCCUCCGCACUUUGAGUUGUCCCACCUGUGAAAGGAAAAUAAAUCUUGGGGCCCCCAAAUCACUAAGCUAAAGGGAAAAGUCAAGCUGAGAACUGCUUAGGGCCAACCAUCCUCUCAUUCUAUUCACAGUCACCCCUCUGCUCACUGAGAUAGAUGCUAUCUGAUUGCCUCCUUUGGAAAGGCUAAGCAGAAACUCAAAAGAAUGCAACUUUCCAUCUCUCACCUAUCUGUGACCUGGAAGCCCAGUCCCUGCUUUGAGUCUUCCUGCCUUUGCUUCAAGCUGUCCCGCCUUUCCAGACCAAACCAAUGUACUUCUUACAUAUAUUGAUGUCUCAUGUCUCAUGUCUCCCUAAAAUGUAUAAAACUAAACUGUGCCCCUACCACCUUGGGCACAUGUCGUCAGGACUUCCUGAGGCUGUGUCAUGGGCACAUCCUCUACCCUGGCAAAAUAAACUUUCUAAAUUAACUGGGACCUACCUCAAAUUAUCUGGGUUCACACGCCUUUGCCUCGAGUUGUCCCACCUUUCCGGACUGAACCAAUGUACAUCUUAACACAUACUGAUUGAUGUCUAAUGUCUCUCUAAAAUGUAUAAAACCAAGCUGUGCUCUGACCACCUUAGGCACUUGUCAUCAGGAUCUCCUGAGGCCAUAUUAUGGGUGCACGUCCUCAACCUUGGCAAAAUAAGCUUUCUAAAUUAACUGAGACGUGUCUCAGAUUUUCGGGAUUCACAAUCUCCACUCUUCACCAAACCUACAAUAAAAAACCCUCAGCUUCUCAGCUUUAACUGUUUCUUCGGGUCUUCAUUUUCUUAUGAAGGUUCAUGUGUCACAUAAAACUUUAAAAAAUUUGUACACUUUUCUCUCAUUAAUCUGUCUUCUGUUAUAGGGCCUCAGCCAUGAACUUGGAAUGGGUAGAUUAAAAAAAAUAUUUUUCCUCCCCUACACAUUUUUUUUUUUUUUUUUGAGACGGAGUCUCAGUCUGUUGACCAGGCUCAAGUGCAAUGGCGUGGUCUUGGCUCACUGCAACCUCUGCCUCCCAGUUUAAGCAAUUAUCCUGCCUCAGCCUCCUGACUAGCUGGGACUACAGGCGCGUGCCACCACACCUGGCUAAUUUUUUUGUAUUUUUAGUAGAGAUCGGGUUUCAUCAUGUUGGCCAGGCUGGUCUUGAACUCCUGACCUCAUGAUCCGCCCGCCUCGGCCUCGCAAAGUGCUGAGAUUACAGGCGUGAGCCACCACACCUGGCCCUCCCCUACACAUUUCUAAGUAUCUUACCUGAUUUUCUAUGGCACCUUUGGGUUGCAGAACCUUAGCUGUAGGAGAAAUGGUGGUGACGGCCAAUGUCUGGCACUGACUUUAACAGAGUACAGAUGUGUAUGUAAAUAGUACUUAUUUUAACAAAAUAGAAAGUUCAAGAAAGAAAUACAGCAACAAAAGUGACAAUUAGAUUGGAAGAGACCCAUUCUUGUUUGCUUGUUUUCUCCAUAAGCCAUCUAGCUUUUUUUUUUUUUUUUGUGAGACGGUCUCACUGUCUCCCAGGCUGGAGUGCAGUGGUGCCAUCACAGCUCACCUCAGCCUUGACCUCCCAGGCUCAAGUGAUCCUCCCACCUUAGCCUCUCAAGUAGCUGGAAGUAUAGGCAUGUACCACCAUGCCCAGCUAAUUUUUUUUUAUUUUUCAUGGAGACAGGGUCUCACUAUAUUGCCCAAGCCAGUCUUGAAUUCCUGGGCUGAAGCGAUCCUCCUGCCUCAGCCUCCCAAAAUGUUGGGAUUAUAGUCAUGAGCUACCAUGCCCAGCCCUAACUCCAUUCUUAAUUGUCACUUAGCCUACACUUUCACUUCAUUGACAUUUAUAGGCUGACAACAAGCAGAUGAAGAUACCAUUGAAACAGUGCCACCACUCACCCAACUGUCCUGUCAGUCAGGAAAAGCACAUCCCCACUGGGUCUCAGAGCUCUCGGCCCGUUGUCUUUGCACUGUGUGACCACACACAAAACCAGGUAAAGUAUUUACCUGCUUUGUUCAGGAGGCUGUCCUUGGCUCUCUAGUUUCUGAUAGGACCCCAUUUUAAACUCUCAAGCCCCCUUGUCCUUGUUCUUUGAUAGUGUCAUAGCCUCUAAACAUAUCACAAUUAUUAAUAUAAUUAAAUACUUAUUUCCCUAUAGAUUUGUUUAAAGCCUGCCUUCCCCCAAGAGAUGGUCAGGUCUGAAGGCAGGUUUGUUACAGAUGACAGGCUCUUGGGCUCAUCAUGUAAUAAAAGUUAACAUGGGGACAAGCAGAUUUCCAGAAAAGGCUUUUAUCUUGGGGCUUGUGCUCGAGUGCAGGGGAGACACCAGAGGUACAAGGACCCUCAAGCUGACUCCCUGAAAAGGUGGUAGGGAUUUUUUUUAUUAGGCAAACACAGGAAUUGGUAUCAUGGGUAGGGUAUGCAGGCUGGCCUGGGCAAAGCACGUGACGGGUAGGGGAUGCUGGUUAGCGUAUCUAGUUGUGAUGGUUAUCUUGAGUAAUGGGCCACCUGGGGGUCUGGCCAGCUGUAACAAGGCUGCAAAUCAAUUGUUCAGGGUUCCUUCCCUUCCCAUGAUGGGACAUUCUGAAACCUCGGUUUGAUGUUUAGAUUUCCUAAGGCCAGUUCCUGGAAUUCUUUUAAGUAAAAGGCAUGAUUAAACAUUAUGAGAGCACAGAAGAAUGGCUAUUUUCUUUGUAAGCCUGAAGCCUUAUCUAAAACCAAUUGUCAGCAAGGCAGGGGUGUGGGUCUUGUGAUCAGUGAGACAAGAAGAAAAAAAAAAACGUGAAAAAGGAACUGAGUUCCUUUUCUAUUCUAUCUGAGGUUACUCCCCACUGCACCCCCGGCACCUGACAUUGUGAGAGGCAUUUGAACCAGAGUGACUCCAUCUUGAAUAGGGGCUGGGUAAAAUGAAUCUGAGACCUACUGGGCUGCAUUCCCAGGAGGUUAGGCAUUCUUAGUCACAGGAUGAGAUAGGAGGUUGGCAGGACUGGUAUCACAAGAUACAGGUCAUAAAAACUCUGACCAUAAAACAAGAUGUGGUAUAGAAGCCAGCCAAAACCAAGAUGGUGAGAAAAGUGACCUCUAGUCAUCCUCACUGCUCAUUAUACUCAAAUUAUAAUGCAUUAGCAUGCUUAAAGAAAUUUCCACUAGCACCAUGACAGCUUACAAAUGCCAUGGCAGUGUUCAGAAGUUACCCUAUAUAGUCUAAAAAGGGGAGGAACCCUCAGUUCCAGGAAUUCCCCACCCCUUUCCCAGAAAACUCAUGAAUGAUCUACCCUUUAUUUAGCAUAUGAUCAAGAAAUAACCAUAAGUAUACCCAGUCAGCAGCGCGUGCCGCUGCUGUGUCUAUGGAGUAGCCAUUCUUUUGUCUCUUUUACUUCUCUAAUAAACUUUAUUCUAUGAAUUUGCCCCCAAAUUCUUUCUUGCGCAAGAUCCAAGAACCCUCUUUUGGGGUCUGGACUGGGACCCCUAUCACCAUGCCUGGCUCAAGAAACAUUUGUUGAGUAAUGAUUUAUAGUGACUUUCUAUGUGCUCAUGUCUCACUCUUGUUCCAGUACCUGUAUGCUAAGCAGCCAUGCUACUGUCCUUCUGUGCUUCCCUACAUUCCAAGUUCAAGGGGACAGGAUGGUUUAUUGUUUCUUAAGUGCUUGUCUUUCUGGUCCUGUUUACAUGCAUCAUUAGCCCACAGGAAAGCACUCUGUUACAAAUGACUUUAGAAAUCACAAUCAUUAAAAUUGAAAACUUCCAUUUAAGCCAGACUACCCCUUUGUGAUGUUAAAAGUGUUGCCUCUGAGCUUCCAACCCCCUCUCUAUGAGGCCUAUUCCAGCUUUUAACCUACCGUGGGUGCGGGCUUUUCAUUUGGAGCCUCUUGUGAUCUUCAAGCUGUAAUUUUCGCAAGCAGGGCCCUAAAGCUCUUUAAUUUUUUUGUUUACCAGAAUUACUCAUUUCAUUUUUGUAUGUGCUUGGUAGAUGAAUUUUCUGUGGCAUCUUACAAAAUAAGGCCAUAAUACCUUAUGGCAUUAAAAAAAAGUUGGGGGGGGAGCAAAACCACCACA